rnacentral:rRNA from 1 species
GAUGAACGCUGGCGGCGUGCCUAAUACAUGCAAGUCGAGCGAACAGACGUGGAGCUUGCUCCUCUGACGUUAGCGGCGGACGGGUGAGUAACACGUGGAUAACCUACCUAUAAGACUGGGAUAACUUCGGGAAACCGGAGCUAAUACCGGAUAAUAUAUUGAACCGCAUGGUUCAAUAGUGAAAGACGGUUUUGCUGUCACUUAUAGAUGGAUCCGCGCCGCAUUAGCUAGUUGGUAAGGUAACGGCUUACCAAGGCAACGAUGCGUAGCCGACCUGAGAGGAUGAUCGGCCACAACGUAACUGGGACACGGUCCAGACUCCUGAGGGAGGCAGCAGUAGGGAAUCUUACGCAAUGGGCGAAAGCCUGCCGGAGCAACGCCGCGUGAGUGAUGAAGGUCUUCGGAUCGUAAAACUCUGUUAUUAGGGAAGAACAAAUGUGUAAGUAACUAUGCACGUCUUGACGGUACCUAAUCAGAAAGCCACGGCUAACUACGUG